GCUCGACUGGCCCAGCGGUUAAGGCGUCUGUGUACGUUCCAUCAUCACCCGCUUUCAUCUACAAAACUAAUUAUCCCCGACAGCUUACACACAGAAGAUCCUCGGUUCGAUCCCGAGGUUGAGCA